rnacentral:rRNA from 1 species
GACGAACGCUGGCGGCGUGCUUAACACAUGCAAGUCGAACGGAAAGGCCCUGCUUUUGUGGGGUCUCGAGUGGCGAACGGGUGAGUAACACGUGAGUAACCUGCCCUUGACUUUGGGAUAACUUCGGGAAACUGGGGCUAAUACCGGAUAGGAGCUCCUGCUGCAUGGUGGGGGUUGGAAAGUUUCGGCGGUUGGGGAUGGACUCGCGGCUUAUCAGCUUGUUGGUGGGGUAGUGGCUUACCAAGGCUUUGACGGGUAGCCGGCCUGAGAGGGUGACCGGCCACAUUGGGACUGAGAUACGGCCCAGACUCCUACGGGAGGCAGCAGUGGGGAAUAUUGCACAAUGGGCGGAAGCCUGAUGCAGCAACGCCGCGUGCGGGAUGACGGCCUUCGGGUUGUAAACCGCUUUCGCCUGUGACGAAGCGUGAGUGACGGUAAUGGGUAAAGAAGCACCGGCUAACUACGUG